UGCCUUCUAUGUGUUGCCCGUUCAUUGUGUGUGUAAUGAAUGCGGUGUCAACAGAGGCAUACAGCAACUCUUGCGUUGGCCUUUAAAGGGUGUCUCCUAUGGCAUCUUUGAGGUUACGCAUGAACAUAU